CAGAAGAAAGUGGAAACACUGUAAAUCUCAGAGCCGCAGAGGGAGAGCUGAAGGAGGAGAAACACAAUUUGGGGUUCAUCCCCUGGGUUGGACGUCAAAACACCAGUUGUCUCUCUGUUUCCACUUGCUGAAACAGACAUUCCCGAGAAGGUGAAGUGAAGAUGAGGAAAAUGAGGCUCGGAGUGGUCCAAGGUCACAAGCCUGUUUGUGUCAGGCAGUUCAGAUGCCACAGUAUAACGCUGCCUCCACUGCACCGUUAUUCCAGCACCAACUUUCUGAGCACUGGAUGCUGCCACAGCAUGGUUUGGUGAGCCAUGUGUAGGUCUGCGCCCAGGAUCCAAACUGACGAACCCCGGGCCGCUGAAGUGGAGCACAUGAACUUAACCACUCGGCCAUGGGGCCAGUCCCUAAAAAAGUUAAUUUUUAAAAAUUGUAGUUAAGGGAGGAAGCUGUGGCCAAGAAACCAUCGGUGAAUAAAGCAAGAUGGAAGACGAGUUCGUUGAGAAGGGGAGACCAGAGGAAGGUCGGAGUAACCUGAUCAAGCUAGAGGAGAGAGAAGACUUCAGGGGUGUGUCCAGGGGUCGUGUCUUAUUUAAAC
rnacentral:lncRNA from 1 species